rnacentral:rRNA from 1 species
CCUACGGGGUGCAGCAGUGAGGAAUAUUGGUCAAUGGACGAGAGUCUGAACCAGCCAAGUAGCGUGAAGGACGACUGCCCUAUGGGUUGUAAACUUCUUUUAUAAAGGAAUAAAACGAGGCACGUGUGCCUUUUUGUAUGUACUUUAUGAAUAAGGAUCGGCUAACUCCGUGCCAGCAGCCGCGGUAAUACGGAGGAUCCGAGCGUUAUCCGGAUUUAUUGGGUUUAAAGGGAGCGUAGAUGGGUUGUUAAGUCAGUUGUGAAAGUUUGCGGCUCAACCGUAAAAUUGCAAUUGAUACUGGCAGUCUUGAGUACAGUUGAGGUAGGCGGAAUUCGUGGUGUAGCGGUGAAAUGCUUAGAUAUCACGAAGAACCCCGAUUGCGAAGGCAGCUUACUAAACUGUGACUGACAUUGAUGCUCGAAAGUGUGGGUAUCAAACAGGAUUAGAUACCCCAGUAGUC